rnacentral:sRNA from 1 species
CUCUAGCCCUGAUGGUCGCGGCAUCCUUUUUAUUUUUUCUUUAAAAAUAAAAAGAUACAGCAGACAGCAGGAAUUAGC